rnacentral:misc_RNA from 1 species
UCCCCCGUGAGGGGGCAGUCUCGCCUGACUUGUAAAACAGGCAACGCGGGUUACGUUCGUUACCCCACUGAAGGGAACAACUCAAGCCACGAACUGACGACGACCAUGCAUCACCUGCCCAGCCGUCUUGCGAAAGACUAGUUUCCUAGCCGGUCGUCUGGGUUUCAAACCCUGGUGAGGUUUUUCGUUUGUCAUCGAAUUGAGCCGCAUGAUCCACCGCUUGUGCAAGUCCCCGUCUAUUCCUUUGAGUUUUAAUCUUGCGAUCGUACUACCCAGGCGCAUCACUUAACGCGUUAGCUACGCCUCAGAGAGGGUCGAUACUCCCUAAAGCUAGUGAUGAUCGUUUAGGGCGUGGACUAC